GAUGAACGCUGGCGGCGUGCCUAAUACAUGCAAGUCGAGCGAACAGACGAGGAGCUUGCUCCUCUGACGUUAGCGGCGGACGGGUGAGUAACACGUGGAUAACCUACCUAUAAGACUGGGAUAACUUCGGGAAACCGGAGCCAAUACCGGAUAAUAUAUUGAACCGCAUGGUUCAAUAGCGAAAGACGGUUUUGCUGUCACUUAUAGAUGGAUCCGCGCCGCAUUAGCUAGUUGGUAAGGUAACGGCUUACCAAGGCAACGAUGCGUAGCCGACCUGAGAGGGUGAUCGGCCACACUGGAACUGAGACACGGUCCAGACUCCUACGGGAGGCAGCAGUAGGGAAUCUUCCGCAAUGGGCGAAAGCCUGACGGAGCAACGCCGCGUGAGUGAUGAAGGUCUUCGGAUCGUAAAACUCUGUUAUUAGGGAAGAACAAAUGUGUAAGUAACUAUGCACGUCUUGACGGUACCUAAUCAGAAAGCCACGGCUAACUACGUG
rnacentral:rRNA from 1 species